GUGGAUGGGGCUCAGUGGUAGAGCACUUGCCUAGCAAGUGUGAGGCACUGGGCUCCAUCCUCAGCACCACA
rnacentral:tRNA from 1 species